GAUGAACGCUGGCGGCGUGCCUAAUACAUGCAAGUCGAGCGAACAGACGAGGAGCUUGCUCCUCUGACGUUAGCGGCGGACGGGUGAGUAACACGUGGAUAACCUACCUAUAAGACUGGGAUCACUUCGGGAAACCGGAGAUUAUACCGGAUAAUCUCUUGAACCGCAUGGUUCAAUAGUGAAAGUCGGUUUUGCUGUCACUUAUAGCUGGAUCCGCGCCGCAUUAGCUAGUUGGUAAGGUAACGGCUUACCAAGGCUACGAUGCGUAGCCGACCUGAGAGGGUGAUCGGCCACACUGGAACUGAGACACGGUCCAGACUCCUACGGGAGGCAGCAGUAGGGAAUCUUCCGCAAAGGGCGAAAGCUUGACGGAGCAACGCCGCGUGAGUGAUGAAGGUCUUCGGAUCGUAAAACUCUGUUAUUAGGGAAGAACAAAUGUGUAAGUAACUAUGCACGUCUUGACGGUACCUAAUCAGAAAGCCACGGCUAACUACGUG
rnacentral:rRNA from 1 species